CAGGCAUCCCCCGUUUCCCGGCGCCGCGUCCCUUCCCGCCCGGCCCCGCCGCCCCUCCCCGGAAGGGCGGCCCCGGCGCGGCCGGCGCGGAGCCGGCAUGGAGCGGGCCGAGGCCUACGGCUUCUCGGGCGCCAUGAGCGGCGCCUUCCUGCUGUCGUGCCUGCUCUUCGCGGCCGUCAGCCGCCGGCAGCGCGGGCCCUACAUGGACGAGGUGUUCCACAUCCCGCAGGCGCAGGCCUAUUGCCACGGCCGCUUCCUGCAGUGGGACCCCAUGAUCACCACGCUGCCCGGCCUGUACCUGCUCUCGGUGGGAGCCGCGAAGCCCGCGGCGUGGCUGCUCGGCUGGACGGGCAGCGUGGUGUGCUCCGUGGGAAUGCUCAGGUUCAUCAAUCUCCUCUUCAGUGCUGGGAACUUCUAUUUGCUCUAUUCACUUCUCUUCAAGAUCCAUCAGAAGAAUAAGGACCACCACCUAUGAUGCAUCUCUGCUCUGUGUUGAUGAAAGGAAUAUUGGCUCCCCAGCCAGUUCAUGGAUUGCUGUCCUGUGUUGGAAAGAUUUCCUGAUACCAGCCUCAAAUGCCACUUCCUCUGGCAGGGUAUCCAUUUUCUCUGAAAUCUGCCUUCUUGUCUUCUUGAAAGUUCUAUUAAUUUUUCAGUCACUAUUGGACUAAUAUGAAGUGUAGAACUGCUUCCUUCAGCUCCUUUAUUCUAAGCAGCAUGAGAGGCCUCAUGGGCUGCAGGAAUGAGGUCAGCACCACAUUUCGGAAAGGCUGUGACACAGAGCUCCUGUUUCUGCACUUUGAUGAGCUGGCUGCAGGACCGUGAUGCGUGCUCCAUGCCAACACGGACACACCAGGCAUGACUUCCAUGGGCACCUCUCCUGGGCCCCUCGUAAACAAACAUUUUUGCCAAUGGCUUUGUGAUAAACUAAGAGGUACGUUAAUUCAAUUUUUAAAUAGCAGAAUGCUGGUAAGGGUUGUGAAUCUACUAAGGGAUGGGGUGAGGUGUGAGAAUGCUUCUGACUGAUCCUGCCAAAGUCAGAUGUGUUUUCUGUAAUGCUUUACUGCUGGCUGGAGUGGCCCAAGCACCAAACUGCAUUGAAGGCAAAGGUGUCCUUGCUGGGUCCUGCCAAACCCCUUGUGGCCUCAGCCCAGGGCUCACAGACAAGGUGGUCUCAGCAUCUUGUUUUCCCCACUCCUGUCUCAGAGGUACCUACACUGCCAGCCUGGCUGACCUGGGGGCAUGGAGACUUUCACCUCCUACAACACAGCCAGCUUGGAACAAGGGAUAAGCAUAGCCAAGACCAAACAUGAUCUUCAUGGUCUACUGCUCAAAGCUCACUUUGCUGCACAGGAGGGCCUGUGGAUGGGGUUCAUCCAGGCAGACCCAGAAGGGGCUAUUAGCCCCACAACAUGUUCCCCAGCCAGCCUGCUGUCGUGGGGACAGCCUCAACAUUGGGAAUCAAAGCCUAAAAAUCAUCUUAACAUGAAAAUUUAAAUUGCUUUAAUAAUGAUUUUCACUUGGGCUUGGAGUUGCACGUGAUCUCUGUGUUUUACAGGGACAUUUAGUGCUGUCUCCUCUGCUGAGAGGCAGCUUUGUGUGUGGACAAACAAGUGCCAGGCUCAUGAAGGGAGGGUGUACUCCCAGACCUGGUAAGCCUUGCUGCUGUCAAGAUCUAGAGGGAGGAAAACUGGUCUCUGCUCCACCUGCCAGGCUGCUUCCUGCUCUCACAAAGCCCUUAGAAAAAUGAAACCAGUCAAAAAUUUGCAACCUGCCCUAAAACAAACUUUCUAAAUGUGAUUCAAACUUUGAAAGAUUUCAAUCUUGAGUUGUCUUGAAGUAAUUUUUUUAAUGUUAAUUUUCUACUAUUGACCUAAAAAAUCAGUCAUUUAGACAACCAUGCUCUGUGCAGAAAGGAUAAAGCUUAUCACAGAACCAAACACAAUUUUUCAGAGCCUGUUAGGAACAGGAAAAGUCCAUGCUGCUUGCCAUUAUAGAUUCAGAGCACAUUUCUUUGACCUGUCCUCCUCUCAAGAUAAGCAUAGUGCAUAUGCAAAUAACUGUAAUAAAUGCCAUCAACAGGCAAGUGGAAAAUAAGUACCUCAAGCAACUAAAGUAGCAGCUUGAACUGAAGCACGCCUCUCUUCCUGGGAAAAGAUAAAAGAACAAGUGCCUGACAGCAUGUGGGGCACCUCACCUUGCUUUUUGAAGGGUAAGUCAUGGUUAAAGCCUGGGAGUAGUAAUGGCACUUUUGUUGUCCCCCAUUAGCAGUGGUGCUCCCUGAGGUGGCAUCUCACAGCAUCCCCUGGUCACAAAGCACAGCAGUGCCAGCACAGCCAGAUCCUUUCAGGGGACAUGAAUGAGGAGAAGACCAGCUGAUGUCUGCUUUGUUCUGAGCCCAGAGAGCCCAGCACCAUGGAGUGCCAGGAAUGAGCUGCACCAUCAGCACGUACACAGUGCCCAGCUCUGGACGUCUUCUGGACAUGUCUCUAAGGGUGGACACACCCCAUGUCCAGAAGAUAUUCUCCAAUCAUUCAUCACUAUUUCUGUCUAAAAUAAGAUUUAUUCCCUUCUUCCUUCUACUGACAAAAGGUAAAGGUAAUUUUGAGCACUCAGUUAAAAAUCCCUGCCUGUGCCUAGUCUGUGUUAGGGGGUGGCUGUUAGUGACAGCCAUCCUCACUGAAAACACUGCCAGUAGUGUGCACUGCCGGGGCUGCAGACAUCAAGGGCCUCCUGUACAUCAUCCUAUAAAAACUCAGAUUUUCCUUUGUGCAAAAAUGCUAGCAAAUGGCUAUCUAAAAUCUCAGAGUUAUAUAAAUAUUUGUAAUUUCCCCAUCUUUUUCAUCCCAAAUCCACAAGGCUGGAACUUGAUACCAAGGGACCGAUGCCUAUUCCUGCUGUUCUCAAAAAUAAAUCUGUGGGCUAAAUCUAUCCCACUAUCUGAAGGAAACUUGACAAGGUGCAUUUAAAAUAAAAAUCUGAUAUUGAAAAACUAAGAAUGGUCUGCAGUAUCUAACCCACAACUAAAUUCUGUAUUAAACACUUAAGGUAUGUUAACAGAGGAAUGUACAGUUUGCUAUCAGCUUUUACUGAGUCAGGAGAGACCAUUGUGUAUGAGUGUUUCUGCAUGGGGAAUUCCAGUUCUGUCAGAAAUUUGCCUCUGUCACCAUCUGAGCUCUUGAAAAUUUUUUUUUUCUUCCAGUCAUUUUAAAAUGUAAUAACAAAAAUGAAAAUGCUAACAGAUUUGAAAUCACUUCAGGAUAUUUUGCCAACUAGAAACAUGUUGACUUUUUAAACAAAUGGCUUGCUUUCCCUGUAAUUAAUUUUAAAACAUUCAUUUUUGCACUGACAGACAUCAAGCAGCUAUUCUGCAGCUGUCUCAGGAUUUCUGAGCUUGACCUUAAUAAAUAAUACAAGGUUUUCUUAAUUUGAAGACUAA